UUCUGUCUGCUUUUCCUCAGCCAGUGCCUGCCUGCCUGAUGUGUGGUUUCCUCUCCUGUGCAAAUUGCCGGUCAUCAGGAAAAUAAUCUGGUCGAAGGCCCUGCCUCACCUUCUAGAGAAGAAAGGCCCAGAAGGGGAAAGAGAUUUUUUGAAAUUUCUGUCUGCCAUCCCCCCAGAGUCCAAGGGAAGCAGGGAGAAGAGCGCAAGCUUGGGAGAAUCCAGGAAGCCUUCACGGGGAGGUGACACUUGAGCAGGGCCCUAAAGGCGGGGGGACUCGAAUGAGAACAGCGGACAGGAGGAGGACAGAUGCUGCUGAGAGAUCCAUCAAUAACCAUCAGCCGUGAGAUGGGCAAUGUGAAGGUCAGGAAUGAGCCUGAGAGGACGGCGAGCAGGGGAGAGAGCCCGUGGGGAGCGUGUGUGGGAGACUGCAGAAGAAACCCUGGAGAUGGUGACGACUCUUCUGAAGGACCAGAGAAAUGGGUGAGGGAAUAUCUUCCUGAGACGGGGAACAUGCACAUUUGCAAGCUGAUUAGUUAAGAGAGUAGACCGGGUGAAAUUGAGGGUGGAGGAGAGAGGGAGAGAGAAUUGAUGGAUGCGUGUCCUUGAGAAGGUGAGAGAAACAGGCUCUAGUGGCUGCAGCCAGGCUGGCUUGGGCCGCCAGAACAGGGAGAUAGUCUAGGACAAGGGGGCAGGUAUGAAGAGGCCCAGGACUGAAUUUAACCAGAGCUGUGCCAGGUUAGUGUGAUGCGCAGAAGGGCUGGAGCUGCAGCAUGUGGCCACUGGGAGCCGAGGUGGGGAGGGGGACAGGUGGGACCAACGGGGGAGGCUUAGUGCAUGGGGUAAGAUCAGCGGUUCAGAGAUCUCAGGCCCAAGGGCCUAGGAUCAGGGGCAGGAGAGGGAGGUGGAAAGGUAGGAGGGAUGGAGGAGAUACCUGGAAGGAGGAUCAGGGAGUGCGACAGGCUACUGGGAAGGCAGGGAAGGCCCUGGGAAGGCAGGGCCAGGCCUCACUAGGGUCCAGCUGAGGCUGGCACACAAGACCAUGGUGGGAGAGGAGGCCAGGGUGUUGGAAGGGCCACAGAAGUAGACACUCCAGUGACCAGGACUGGAGCACGAGUAGUGCUGGAGAGGGCUGACACAGAGCAUCUCUGAGGAACCGGCAAAGGGGCCUGGAGCUGGCUCAUCAUGAAGGCAAGUGGGUGACCCAGUGCUGACAAUGGCCUGGAAGCGGCCUCAGGAGCCAAAAGGACCCUGCCCACCUCCAGGCCCAGCAGAAUGAGGGUCUGCAGGAUAAAGCGGCGCCCACCGAGCAGGCUGCAGGAAACAGGGUCUAGAGGAGGCCAGGUUACAGAGCAAUUUACAAAAGCUGUCAGGGACAUUCUGGGAGGGGGCUGAAGGCUCGGGAACUCUUGCUCCCUGGACUUUGGGGUACUGGAGGAGCCCCAGCAUGUUAAAGUUCCUGCAUGAUUGCAGCCUGGGCCUGACAGCUUGGGACUAUCCCAUCUACAGAGCUGCCCCUCCCCAGUGUCUCCUUCACCUGGCCCCUGCCCCACCAGCAGCAGGAUCUGAGCAAAACUCCAUCCCUGGAAGGGAAGAUUCUCCCAGAAACACAGGGCAUGACUGUCCUUCCAGGCUCCAGCUGACGCUGUGUGCUCUGCUCCCAUGCAUGAACUUGGGGCCCAGGACCCCUCCACUGCAGGCCCCCACAGAGCAUGAGGGGAUGGCUCCCAACAUCACUUUUUUUUUUUUUGAAACAGUCUCACACUGUUUCCCAGGCUGGAAUGCAGUGGGAUCUUGGCUCACUGCAACCUCUGCCACCCAGGUUCAAGCAAGACUCCUGCCUCAGCCUCCUGAGUAGCUGGGAUAACCAUGCCGGGCUAAUUUUUGUAUUUUUAGUAAAGACAGGGUUUUACCAUGUUGGCCAGGCUGGCCUCAAACUCCUGGCAUCAAGUGAUCUGCCUGCCUUGGCCUCCCAAAGUGCUGGGAUUCCAGGUGUGAGCCACCUCGCCCGGCCCCAACAUCACAGCUUUAAAGACUGACCAAUCCAAAGUUCCCAACCUGGAGUCCACUAGGGGCAAGAGUGGGGUUCUUCAAAGGUGGAAAGGUCAGGAACCACCAAACCAAUCCAACUAUCCUUUUCCCAUUGACAGAUGGGGAAACUGAGGCCAGGAAAGCAUGGGCCUCUUGCUCAAGUCACACAGCCAAUCACGGGCAAAGAGGGUGCAGAACACAGCCUCGGGUCUCCAGGCCAAGGCACUCCCAAGCGCCUGCCCCGCCUCCCCUCCCACCUGACAGCUGGUUCUUCCGGUCUGGGUGCCAAGUGUAGCUCCCUCCGACAGCCCUGCCAUCUGCCUCUCCCUUCCUCCCUCCCUCCUCCUCCUGGCUUCUCCUCCUCUUUUCCCUUCCUCUCCCAGCCUCUGUUUUUCUCCCUGGGGCUUAGGCCUGCCCAACAGCUUUGCACGCGCUGCUCAUGUGGGACUGUGGCUGGGGACUCCCUGGGGCAGGGGCCAUGGGUUCCGAUCCCAGCAACUCCAGAGUUAACCUCUCUGGGACUCAGCUUCUCAUCUGAGGAGGGGAUAACAAAACCCACUACCGCAGCCGUAUGGCAGGCCUUUUAAACUUGCAUUCAGGCUGGGUGUGGUGGCUCAUGCCUGUAAUCUCAGCACUUUGGGAGGCCAAGGCGGGUGGAUCACUUGGGGUCAGGAGUUCGAGACCAGCUUGGCCAACAUAGUGAAACCACGUCUCUACUAAAAACACAAAAAUUAACCAGGCAUGGUGGCGCACACGUAUGCCUGUAAUCCCAGCUACUGGGGAGGUUGAGGCAGGAGAAUCGCUUGAACCCAGGGGGCAGAGGCUGCAGUGAGCCAAGAUCACAGUACUGCACUCCAGCUUGGGUGACAGUGAGACCCUGUCUCAAACAAACAAACAAACAAACAACAACAACAAAAACCCUUGCAUUUUCUUUUUCUUUUUUUCAGACAGUGUCUUGCUCUUUCAGCCCAGGCUGGAGUGCAGUGCUGCGAUCUUGGCUUACUGCAAACCUCCACCUCCCGGGCUUAAACAAGUCUCAUGCCUCAGCCUCUUGAGUAGCUGGGAUUACAGGCACGCGUUCCACCACGCCUGGCUAAUUUUUUGUAUUUUUAGUAGAGACAGGUUUUCACCAUGUUGGCCAGGCUGGUCUUGAACUCCUGACCCCAGGUGAUCCACCUGCUUCCACCUCCCAAAGUGCUGGGAUUACAGGUGUGAGCCACCGCCCCCGGCCAAAAUUUGAGUUUUCGAUUUUUCUUAGAUGGAGUCUUGCUCUGUGAUGUAGUCUUGCUCGGUCGCUCAGACUGGAGUGCAGUCGUGCAAUCUUGGCUCACUACAACCUCUGCCUCCCAGGUUCAAGCAAUUCUCCUGCCUCAGCCUCCUAAGUAGCUGGGACUACAGGUGUGCACCACCACACUCGGCUAAUUUUUUGUAUAUUUAGUGACAGGGUAUCACCAUGUUGGCCAGGAUAGUCUCUCUCUCCUGACCUUGUGAUCCACCCACCUCCACCUCCCUAAGUGCUGCGAUUACAGGUGUGAGCCACCUCACCUGACCAAAAUUUGCAUUUUCAUAAGCCCUUGAGGCCUCCCCAAACCCAGGCCCUCCAAUCCCAUGUUAUAGAUGACGUGACAGAAGCUGAAAGAGGUUGGGAUUUUCCAAGGUCCUGCUCUGAUGGCCUUGUUCCUGAUGCCCCAGGCUUUCUCAGGCUCUCUAGGCCAUCCCCAGGCUGUCCCUUGACAUGAGGAAGGUCCUAAGACACAGCAGAAAUCUAUCACCUCCCGGGGCUCUCCUUGCAGCUGACCCUGGCCUAGACCUGAGAGCGAAGAAGCAGCUGAGGAGCCGGCCACAGGAGGUGAAGAGGCGAGGAAGACUCCAGGGUGCUCAGCAAUAAAUGCCAAACAGGGCUGUGGCCCACCUUCCUGUCUAGGUGACGGGGCUGUGCCGGUACUGGGGGAGGACAGGCUGGACGUGACCACACAUCUCCAGCCACAGAGCCCUCUCCAAACCAGGCUUCCGAAACCCCCCUUGACUGGCUCACAGCCCCUCUCUCCAGCUUCCCACUGCCCUCAGAGGAAGUCCAGCUUGUGAGUGUGUCCUCCAAGCCUCUCCCUCAAUGCCCCUUGGGAUUUCCUCCUUGUAGUGACCCGAGCCUCUGGGACAGUGCUUCACAUUCAAUCCUGUUCUCGUCACCUUGGGGUGGCACUGAGCAGGGGACUUGUGGGAUGAACAAAUGAACAUCAGAGCUGGCCAGAGGUUCUAUCUCUACCCUGGACCCCCGUCCCCCAAAAUCGCUGGUCCCUGAAUUUUCCUGUGGCCCCAUGGCUGGCACACUGCAAGCUGGCUGGGGGACACAAAGGGUCUUAUCUUGAAGCUGCUUCGUUUACAAAAAAAGUUCAGCUUUUUAAAUUUAUUUUUUCAUUUGAGAUGGAGUUUCAGUCUUGUCGCCCAGGCUGGAGUGCAGUGGCGCGAUCUUGGCUCACUGCAACCUCCACUUCCUGGGUUCAGGUGAUUCUCCUGUCUCAGCCUCCUGAGUAGCUGGGAUAACAGGUGUGCGCCAUCAUGCCCAGCUAAUUUUUGUAUUUUAGUAGAGAUGGAUUUCACCAUGUUGGGCAGGCUGGUCUUGAACUCCUGACCUCAAGUGAUGUACCCGCCUUGGCCUCCCAAAGCGUUGGGAUUACCGGGGUGAGCCAUUGCACUCGGCCAAGUUUGGCUUUUUUACAAGUGUUCACUUUGGAUGAUGUGGGGUGAGGUGGGGGCUGGAUAAAACCAGCAUGUAAAGUUGCCCCCCUCAGGCUGCCCCUUGGUGCCACGGAGAUCCAGGCAGGGAAGCCACCGGGAGUACACAGAGCCCGGAGCCCUGCAGGUCAGGUUCAAACCAAGGCCUUGAGCUAGCACGAGCCACUUCCUCAGGCUGAGCCUUCCUUUUGUCAUCUGUAAAAUGGGGGGAAAGAUACCCACCCACUUACAAAACCAUAUGGUGUUACAGCCAAAGCCCUUAAAAAGUGAACCUUGAAAAUGCAGCAUUUCAAACAUUUCAUCAAUUUCAUUUCGUUAAGGUGGAGAAUUUAAAAAACCUCAUUUACCAGCACUGAUAUUCAUUCGCUAUCGUCCAUUUCAGCCCUCUGCAGAAAAGAACAUAAACUCCAGAUAAAAGGUGGUCCUUUCUAUUAAAUCAAUUUAGCUCCUUGCUGUAA